rnacentral:rRNA from 1 species
GAUGAACGCUGGCGGCGUGCCUAAUACAUGCAAGUCGAGCGAACAGACGAGGAGCUUGCUCCUCUGACGUUAGCGGCGGACGGGUGAGUAACACGUGGAUAACCUACCUAUAAGACUGGGAUAACUUCGGGAAACCGGAGCUAAUACCGGAUAAUAUAUUGAACCGCAUGGUUCAAUGGUGAAAGACGGUUUCGCUGUCACUUAUAGAUGGAUCCGCGCCGCAUUAGCUAGUUGGUAAGGUAACGGCUUACCAAGGCAACGAUGCGUAGCCGACCUGAGAGGGUGAUCGGCCACACUGGAACUGAGACACGGUCCAGACUCCUACGGGAGGCAGCAGUAGGGAAUCUUCCGCAAUGGGCGAAAGCCUGACGGAGCAACGCCGCGUGAGUGAUGAAGGUCUUCGGAUCGUAAAACUCUGUUAUUAGGGAAGAACAAAUGUGUAAGUAACUAUGCACGUCUUGACGGUACCUAAUCAGAAAGCCACGGCUAACUACG